rnacentral:misc_RNA from 1 species
GAUGAAGAACGUAGCGAAAUGCGAUAAGUAGUGUGAAUUGCAGAAUUCAGUGAAUCAUCGAAUCUUUGAACGCACAUUGCGCCCCUUGGUAUUCCAUGGGGCAUGCCUGUUCGAGCGUCAUUUGUACCUUCAAGCUUUGCUUGGUGUUGGGUGUUUGUCCUGAGGGACUCGCCUUAAAGUAAUUGGUAGCCAGUGUUUGGUUUUGAAGCGCAGCACAAGUCGCGAUUCAAAGCUAUACGCCCGCUUCCACAAGCCUUUUUCACUUUUGACCUCGGAUCAGGUAGGGAUACCCGCUGAACUUAAGCAUAUCAAUAAGCGGAGGA